CCAUGCUGGGCUGCCAGAGCACAGUGAAGGGAGCCCCCAGGGCUGUGGUGUCCCGGGGCUGUCUCAGCAGCCUCAGAAGUCAGGACUUUUUUUUUGUUAAUUGAAUAGCCUUCACAUUUGUUGCUUGUGCAGGAUCUAAUUGAGUUAAAGAUUUGGGUUUAUAUCGGUGGGAGCCGGGGGAGACCGUUUGAAGGAAAAGAUUUAGGGGUAACAAAAGAAUAAAAGUUUCCCAAAAUGUGAUGUAUAAAAAUUUACAGAAUGCUGGUAUUUCCCUCAGUAAGAGCUUACACAAUUUAACAGCCAUGAGAGGAAGGGGCCUUGGACUUAACACAACGUGGAGAAUGUUCACUUUGGCUUUUCCACAGAUUCCUCUCAAAGGUUACCAUCGACUUUAAGAUUAGUAUUAAUAGAAGCUGUUUUUGCUGUUGUUUUUGAUUUCAUGGUGUUUUUGAUUGCCUGGGUACGCUAACUUGAUUUUUUGACAGAUGGUUGGCAAUGGCUGAUAAAUGACACUUUGAGACAUCUCCAUCUCAUCUCAAGUCACUCCCGCCAGCAGAUGAAGGAUGCAGCGGUCUCGGCCCUGGCUGCUCUAUGCAGUGAAUAUUACAUGAAGGAGCCGGGGGAGGCAGAUCCCGCAAUUCAGGAGGAGCUGAUCACGCAGUACCUGGCUGAGCUUCGGAACCCCGAGGAGAUGACUCGCUGUGGCUUCUCGUUGGCCUUGGGCGCCCUUCCAGGCUUCCUUCUGAAAGGCCGGCUCCAGCAGGUUCUCACAGGUUUAAGAGCAGUUACCCACACUUCCCCCGAGGACGUAAGUUUUGCUGAGUCCAGGAGAGAUGGCUUGAAGGCCAUUGCUAGGAUUUGCCAGACUGUCGGUGUGAAAGCA
rnacentral:sRNA from 1 species